rnacentral:rRNA from 1 species
UACGUAGGGUGCGAGCGUUGUCCGGAUUUAUUGGGCGUAAAGGGCUCGUAGGCGGCGUGUCGCGUCGGGAGUGAAAGCCCGCUGCUUAACGGCGGGUUGGCUUUCGGUACGGGCAUCGCUGGAGUGCGGCAGGGGAGACUGGAAUUCCUGGUGUAGCGGUGAAAUGCGCAGAUAUCAGGAGGAACACCGGUGGCGAAGGCGGGACUCUGGGCCGAUACUGACGCUGAGGAGCGAAAGCUAGGGGAGCAAACAGG